UAAAAUCCAAACGAUUUCUGUUCUCUGGGGUCUAUCAACUGGACUCAAAAGCAAUGCACACACACACUUUGUGGAUCCACAUAUUAGUGAAAGGGGGUAGCAUCAGUAGCUGAGAAUUAGUUUUGGUUAGGCAUGCAUCUUGUCAGCCUCUGGACCUGAUGAGACUUUGAGGAUCCAAUCUGUCCAAUUGAGGUGACAUUUCCUGAGCAGAGGCAUCGUCCAAUCAAGAGCCGGGGAUAAUAACCACCUGCAGGUUCACAAGCCAUGCAUGGAAUUGUUGCAUUUUGUGAAGAAAAUGAACUAGCAUGCCAACUGAAUGGGACGAAGUGGAUGGGCCGGGACCAUUCAUGUUCAGGAUAUUUGUUCAGCCAAAAUAUAAUGCGCACCACUAUUACUCCGUCUCACGAGGGCUUUAUUUUUUUUCCUAUUCAUUUGUCGCAUAAAGACUUCAUCUUUGGAGGGACUAAUGCAUUAGAUUUUUGUAAAGUGAGAGAAAUGCAUUGGAGUUUAGAGAUGUUUUGGACUAUUGUAUUGGAGUUUAAAAAUGU